rnacentral:snoRNA from 1 species
AAUCCAUGCAUCGGACAUUUCUGAAUUAAGUUUUUAAAUCAUUCCCAAGCUUCAUAUUAUGUUUCAUUUUCCAAUUACUGAAAAGAUGUGAUGUCAUUUCUAAUCAU